rnacentral:lncRNA from 1 species
UGCCAUCUUCCAAUAACUAAUUCAAAUAAAGUAGGAGUCAUCAUCCAACCAAACUAUUUCACAACCCAGUUAAUAAGCAAUUUUGCUGAGAGAUGCACAAUCUGAUUCCCACCUUUCAUCAUAUGCACAAUGCUACAACUCCUAAAUCUUCUCUGCAAGAGCUUAAAAAACUCAUUUGUGAAAUCAUCCAUUUGAGGGAAUCAACUUCCAUGUUUAUCAAUGAGGUGGCUCGUUACUGUUUUUCUCAAAAAAAAAAAAAUCAUAAUUACUCAAGGUAUAUAUGCAUGGUAGUAGUGAAAUCCUCAAAGUGUAAUCCAAGAUAUUGAUAACCAAUGGAAAGAAAAAAAAGUAUCGCUAUAUUUGUACUUUUAGUCUUUUAAAAAAACUUCUACCUAAUUUUUUGCCCUGCUAACAUUUCCUUAAUGCUAUGUGAACUUGUGUUCUGCAGAGGCUUCCCAUUUUGGUUGCAUGAUGUUCCAGGAAUUGUUUUUCGGUCUGACAAUGAACCAUUCAAGGUACAUGACUGCACGAAAUCCAUGAAUUCUACCAGUCCCUUCACACCAUAGGCAACUAUUUGGAGUUUAAAAUUUGCUGCUUUACCUACUCGCUCUCUCUCUCUCACACACACACCCCCCACACCCCCCCCCCCUCCCCCAUCAGACCAUUGCUCAUACUAAAUCUAUUCAUUAACUAGAUUUUCAAAUAAGGCUCAUCGCAAAUAUCUCUCAGAUACAUUGCUCAGAAAAUGUCUCUCAACUAUGCAUUCAGACACCAAACAGAGUGAACCUUUCCUCAGAAAACUUGGAAAUAGAAAUGUGCAUAAAAAUAUAAUACAUAAAAAUAUUCCUUUCAAAAGAGACCCUUUCCAUUUUUUGGAGGAAAAAAAGAAAAGAAAAGAAAGCUGUUGUGACUUUGAAUAACACUCUAUUAAGAAACUCUAUUCUUAUUACAGUAAUCGAGGUUAUAUAUCAAUGAUUAAUAUUAAUGUAACUGAUCAUAAAAGAAAAAAAAUCAUGUACAAUGUCUUCAGAGCACUUUGCUUGUGUUGGCUAAUUCUGCUGCUUAAGUUGGCUGGUUCACAUGCAGUUCUACAUGAAAAGAUUUGUGGAAAACAUAGUGAAUUUGAUGAAGUUUGAGAAAUUGUAUUAUCCUCAAGGAGGUCCGAUCAUAGUUUCUCAGGUGACACAUGUUGACUAAAACUCUUUUUAUCAUUAUGGCUAUAUAAUGUCAUGCGAGACUCACUUAAACAAAAUGAUAUGCAUAAUAUAACAUGCAGAUCGAGAAUGAGUACCAAAUGGUGGAGCCUGCAUUUCAUGAGAGAGGACCUCCUUAUGUUCGCUGGGCAGCAUCUAUGGCUGUGGGUUUACAAACUGGGGUCCCAUGGAUGAUGUGCAAGCAAGAUGAUGCUCCUGAUCCAGUGGUCCGCAUUCUUAGUUCAUAUCUAGACUCAUGACUC